rnacentral:rRNA from 1 species
AUUGAACGCUGGCGGCAGGCCUAACACAUGCAAGUCGAAUGGUAACAGGAAAUAGCUUGCUGUUUCGCUGGCGAGUGGCGGACGGGAGAGAUAUGUCUGGGCAACUGCCUGAGGGAGGGGGCUAACUACUGGAAACGGUAGCUAAUACCGCAUAACGUCGCAAGACCAAAGAGCGGGACCUUCGGCCCUCUUGCCAUCAGAUGUGCCCAGGUGGGAUUAGCUAGUAGGUGGGGUAACGGCUCACCUAGGCGACGAUCCCUAGCUGGUCUGAGAGGAUGACCAGCCACACUGGGACUGAGACACGGUCCAGACUCCUACGGGAAGCAGCAGUGGGGAAUAUUGCACAAUGGGCGCAAGCCUGAUGCAGCCAUGCCGCGUGUAUGAAGAAGGCCUUCGGGUUGUAAAGUGCUUUCAGCGGGGAGGAAGGGAGUAAAGUUAAUACCGUGGGUCAAUGACGUUACCGGCAGAAGAAGCACCGGCUAACUCCGUG